GAUUCUCUGAGACUGAGGAGAGAUGUCUUACCAGCAGCAGCAGUGCAAGCAGCCCUGCCAGCCACCUCCUGUGUGCCCCACGCCAAAGUGCCCAGAGCCAUGUCCACCCCCGAAGUGCCCUGAGCCUUACCUGCCUCCUCCUUGUCCACCUGAGCAUUGCCCACCUCCACCAUGCCAGGAUAAAUGCCCUCCUGUGCAACCAUACCCACCCUGCCAGCAGAAGUAUCCACCCAAGAGCAAGUAACAUCACUAGAAUUCAUCAGGACCAUGAAACAACAAGAUCCAGUGGCUCUUCUUACUCCCAGGACUCCAUCAUCUUCCCUUCAGCUGUAGUGGGAGGCUGCAUCUUCCCUAACCUCUGUCUGGCUUGAGCGUUGACAGAGAAAAGGCUUAGUUCUGAAAACCGAUAUGUUGUUGGAAGAUGAGCAGCCAGAUCACUGCCUAAUCUCGCUUUGCUGUCUGUGAUGUAGAUGGUGGUUCCUAUCCUGAGAGCAAGUGUGUUUAUUCUUUUGCUUCUCCCCAAUAAAGCACAUGUUUCAUGGUCAAGCCCA
rnacentral:lncRNA from 1 species